CCUGACUCUGGGUUACUUAGACUCUCCUGACUUAGGCUCCAAAUGUUCCCUCUCGAUUCUCUCUCUUUUCCCUCCCUCUUCUCUAACAGCAGCAGGAGUGCAAGGUACAGGAAUCUGUGAGGAUGAAAGGAGAGAGAAAUGGGAAGUGCCCAGGAAUGGGAAGUGCCCAAACCACUUACACAACCCAGUCAGAAUUCUUUAGAAGGACCUGAGCCCUAGGACCAUGCCUCAGGACUACCUGGCAUGAUGACUCCUUGCUGUCCCAGUCCACCUGGCCGUGCUGCUGCUCCAGUUUCAACUGUUCUGCCUGCGGCUAUGGAACCCUGACCUGUUCACCGGACGUGCUUGUUGCACCCUCGACAACUACUAUGAUUAUUAUUAUUUGACCAUGCUGGUCAUUUAUGAACAUUUUAACAUCUUGACCAUGUUCUGUUAUAAUAUCCACCCGGCACAGCCAGAAGAGGACUGGCCACCCCUCAUAGCCUGGUUCCUCUCUAGGUUUCUUCCUACGUUUUUGGCCUUUCUAGGGAGUUUUUCCUAGCCACCGUGCUUCUUUCACAUGCAUUGCUUGCUGUUUGGGGUUUUAGGCUGGGUUUCUGUACAGCACUUUAUCAGCUGAUGUACGAAGGGC
rnacentral:lncRNA from 1 species